rnacentral:misc_RNA from 1 species
UCCGGCUUAACGCCGGCAGUCUCGUUAGAGUUCCCGGCAUGACCCGCUGGCAACUAACGACAGGGGUUUCGCUCGUUAGAGGACUUAACCCGACACUUCACAGCACGAGCUGACGACAGCCAUGCAGCACCUGUGCUGGUUUCACCAGAGGCAGCAUAGCCCACUUUCAUGGGUGCAUCCCAGCAUGUCAAACCCAGGUAAGGUUCUUCGCGUUGCUUCGAAUUAAUCCACAUACUCCACCGCUUGUGUGAGCCCCCGUCAAUUCCUUUGAGUUUUAGCCUUGCGGCCGUACUCCCCAGGCGGCGCACUUAUCAGUUUUCCUUCGGCACGAUCGAGGUCAGACUCUCUCGUACCUAGUGCGCAUCGUUUACAGCGUGGACUAC